CGCACGAGCGCACCCCUAUCCUUAUUUGCCAGCACGUAAUGGUGGGAACUCUAGGGAGACUGCCGGUGAUAAACCGGAGGAAGGUGGGGACGACGUCAAGUCAUCAUGGCCCUUACGAGUAGGGCUACACACGUGCUACAAUGGCGUAUACAGAGGGUUGCAAAGCCGCGAGGUGGAGCUAAUCUCACAAAGUACGUCGUAGUCCGGAUCGGAGUCUGCAACUCGACUCCGUGAAGUCGGAAUCGCUAGUAAUCGUGGAUCAGAAUGCCACGGUGAAUACGUUCCCGGGCCUUGUACACACCGCCCGUCACACCAUGGGAGUGGGCUGCAAAAGAAGUGGGUAGUUUAACCUUCGGGAGAACGCUCACCACUUUGUGGUUCAUGACUGGGGUGGAGUCGUAACAAGGUAGCCCUAGGGGAACCUGGGGCUGGAUCACCUCCUU
rnacentral:rRNA from 1 species